rnacentral:rRNA from 1 species
CAGUAGCCGCGGGAAUACGAAGGGGGCUAGCGUUGUUCGGAAUUACUGGGCGUAAGGGGCGCGUAGGCGGCCAUUCAAGUUAGAUGUGAAAGCCCUGGGCUCAACCUAGGAAUUGCAUUUGAUACUGUUUGGCUUGAGUUCGGGAGAGGUGAGUGGAAUUCCCAGUGUAGAGGUGAAAUUCGUAGAUAUUGGGAAGAACACCAGUGGCGAAGGCGGCUCACUGGACCGACACUGACGCUGAGGCGCGAAUGCGUGGGGAGCAAACAGGAUUAGAUACCCCGGUAGUCCCUGUCUCUUAUAC